rnacentral:lncRNA from 1 species
GCCCACCUGGUGGGGCGCCCACUAUUCUGUAAAAUCACAGCCAAAUACUAUACUACAGUUUACAAUGCUCAACAAGGACAGAGCAUCCCAGGGGUGACCAUUCCUCUGAUCUCUGCCUCACAACUCACCUCAGGGUAACCAGUCUUCUGCCCAAGCUAAAGCACCCAACACACCCCCAUCGGACUUCAGUCAAUCCGAAGUGGUUCACUUCUCAUCUCUGCCUCUUUCUUCCCAAAUGUCCUGCACUAGAAUGUUCCAACUUUGUUGCUAGAGAAAAAACAGCUGGUAGGAGGAGUGUAACAAGAAAAGAGGCUUAAAGAAAGCUGUGAUUUCUACAGUUAUUCUAAUAAAUGUGUGAAAUAGCCAAUCUGGAAGCACAGGAAAAAACCAACUGAAAGUAUAUGAAUUGACAUUUGGGCAUAUGAGGUCUCCUCUUCAACAAUAUGGUAAGAAGUUUGUCUGUUGUAAAGCACAUGUGGCAAUUAAUAAGAGUACGUUAAGUUUAUUAAUCAGGCACUUUACAUGUACUAGUUAAUUCUUUAAAAAUCAUGGGAGAUAGGUAUAUUUUAUAGAUGAAGAAACUGAAUCACAGAGUUGAAGACAUUUAUCCAAGGGCAUACAAUCAAUUAAAUGGCAGAGUAAACAACAGUAUUAUUAACAUAUGUGUACUUGAAGUUUGCUGAGAGAUCUUAAAUGUUCUCACCACACACACACCCCUCCACACACGGUAACUAAGUGGAGAGAUGCGUUAAUUAGCUUGAUAGUGGCAAUAAUUUCAUAAUGUAUAUAUAGCAAAUUAUAAUUUUGUGUACCACAAAUAUAUAACUUUUUUGUCAAUUAUGACUCAAUAAAUCUAGAGG